UACCUAUACGUUGCCUCGGCGGAUCAGCCCGCGCCCCGUAAAACGGGACGGCCCGCCCGAGGACCCCUAAACUCUGUUUUUAGUGGAACUUCUGAGUAAAACAAACAAAUAAAUCAAAACUUUCAACAACGGAUCUCUUGGUUCUGGCAUCGAUGAAGAACGCAGCAAAAUGCGAUAAGUAAUGUGAAUUGCAGAAUUCAGUGAAUCAUCGAAUCUUUGAACGCACAUUGCGCCCGCCAGUAUUCUGGCGGGCAUGCCUGUUCGAGCGUCAUUUCAACCCUCAAGCUCAGCUUGGUGUUGGGACUCGCGGUAACCCGCGUUCCCCAAAUCGAUUGGCGGUCACGUCGAGCUUCCAUAGCGUAGUAAUCAUACACCUCGUUACUGGUAAUCGUCGCGGCCACGCCGUAAAACCCCAACUUCUGAAUGUUGACCUCGGAUCAGGUAGGAAUACCCGCUGAACUUAAGCAUAUCAA
rnacentral:rRNA from 1 species